rfam:Ictidomys tridecemlineatus contig056356, whole genome shotgun sequence.
GUCUUAGUGUGAGUAUGUCCCAUGCAAUAUUUGGGAUAUACUUAUAUUAAAA